rnacentral:rRNA from 1 species
CUGGGAUAACCCUGGGAAACUGGGGAUAAUACCGGAUAGGCAAUUUUUCCUGGAAUGGUUUUUUGUUUAAAUGUUUUUUCGCCUAAGGAUGGGUCUGCGGCCGAUUAAGUAGUUGGUUAGGUAACGGCUUACCAAGCCAUUGAUCGGUACGGGUUGUGAGAGCAAGAGCCCGGAGAUGGAACCUGAGACAAGGUUCCAGGCCCUACGGGGUGCAGCAGGCGCGAAACCUCCGCAAUGUGAGAAAUCGCGACGGGGGGAUCCCAAGUGCCAUUCUUAACGGGAUGGCUUUUCAUUAGUGUAAAGAGCUUUUGGAAUAAGGGCUGGGCAAGACCGGUGCCAGCCGCCGCGGUAACACCGGCAGCUCUAGUGGUAGCAGUUUUUAUUGGGCCUAAAGCGUCCGUAGCCGGUUUAAUAAGUCUCUGGUGAAAUCCUGUAGCUUAACUGUGGGAAUUGCUGGAGAUACUAUUAGACUUGAGACCGGGAGAGGUUAGAGGUACUCCCAGGGUAGAGGUGAAAUUCUGUAAUCCUGGGAGGACCGCCUGUUGCGAAGGCGUCUAACUGGAACGGUUCUGACGGUGAGGGACGAAAGUUAGGGGCGCGAACCGGAUUAGAUACCCGGGUAGUCCUAACUGUAAACGAUGCGGACUUGGUGUUGGGGUGGCUUUGAGCUGCUCCAGUGCCGAAGGGAAGCUGUUAAGUCCGCCGCCUGGGAAGUACGGUCGCAAGACUGAAACUUAA